GUGGGGAAUCUUCCGCAAUGGACGAAAGUCUGACGGAGCAACGCCGCGUGAGUGAAGAAGGUUUUCGGAUCGUAAAGCUCUUUCGUUAGGGACGAACGUGCUCUUUGUGAAUAAUGAGGAGUAAUGACGGUACCUAAAUAAGAAGCCACGGCUAACUACGUGCCAGCAGCCGCGGUAAUACGUAGGUGGCAAGCGUUGUCCGGAAUUAUUGGGCGUAAAGCGCGCGCAGGCGGGAUAUCAAGUCUGUCUUAAAAGUGCGAGGCUCAACCUCGUGAGGGGACAGAAACUGGUAUUCUUGAGUGUCGGAGAGGAAAGUGGAAUUCCAAGUGUAGCGGUGAAAUGCGUAGAGAUUUGGAAGAACACCAGUGGCGAAGGCGACUUUCUGGACGGUGUCUGACACUGAGGCGCGAAAGCCAGGGGAGCGAACGGGAUUAGAUACCCUGGUAGUCC
rnacentral:rRNA from 1 species